CCUACGGUGCGCAGCAGUGAGGAAUAUUGGUCAAUGUGCGCGAGCCUGAACCCGCCAAGUAGCGUGAAGGAUGACUGCCCUACGGGUUGUAAACUUCUUUUAUAAAUGAAUAAAGUGAGGCACGUGUGCCUUUUUGUAUGUACUUUAUGAAUAAGGAUCGGCUAAAUCCGUGCCAGCAGCCGCGGUAAUACGGAUGAUGCAAGCGGUAUCCUGAUUUAUUGGGUUUAAAGGGGUCGUAGGCGGUCGGAUAAGUUAGAGGUGAAAUCCCGAGGCUCAACUUUGGAAUUGCAUCUGAUACUGUUCGGCGAGAGAGUAGUUGCGGUAGGCGGAAUGGAUGGUGUAGCGGUGAAAUGCUUAGACAUCAUACAGAACACCGAUUGCGAAGGCAGCUUACCAAGCUACUUCUGACGUUGAGGCACGAAAGCGUGGGGAGCAAACAGGAUUAGAUACCCUGGUAGUC
rnacentral:rRNA from 1 species